rnacentral:rRNA from 1 species
UACGUAGGGCGCAAGCGUUUAUCCGGAAUUAUUGGGCGUAAAGAGCUCGUAGGCGGCUUGUCGCGUCGAAUGUGAAAACUCGGGGCUCAACUCCGAGCUUGCAUUCGAUACGGGCAGGCUAGAGUUCGGUAGGGGGAGACUGGAAUUCCUGGUGUAGCGGUGAAAUGCGCAGAUAUCAGGAGGAACACCGGUGGCGAAGGCGGGGUCUCUGGGCAGUAACUGACGCUGAGGAGCGAAAGCGUGGGGUAGCAAACAGG